rnacentral:rRNA from 1 species
GAUGAACGCUAGCGGCAGGCCUAACACAUGCAAGUCGAGGGGGUAGAGUUCUUCGGGACUUGAGACCGGGCGCACGGGUGCGUAACGCGUAUGCAAUCUACCUUAUACAGGGGAAUAGCCCCAGAGAAAUUUGGAUUAAUACCUCAUAGUGUUAUUAGAUGGCAUCAUUUGAUAACUAAAGUUCCAACGGUAAAAGAUGGGCAUGCGUCCUAUUAGCUAGAUGGUAAGGUAACGGCUUACCAAGACAAUGAUGGGUAGGGGUCCUGAGAGGGAGAUCCCCCACACUGGUACUGAGACACGGGACCAGACUCCUACGGGAGGCAGCAGUGAGGAUAUGGUCAAUGGGCGCAAGCCUGAACCAGCCAUGCCGCGUGCAGGAAGACGGUCCUAUGGAUUGAAACUGCUUUUAUACAGGAAG